AACGAACGCUGGCGGCAGGCCUAACACAUGCAAGUCGAACGCUGUAGCAAUACAGAGUGGCAGACGGGUGAGUAACGCGUGGGAACAUGCCCUUCGGUUCGGAAUAACUCAGGGAAACUUGAGCUAAUACCGGAUACGCCCUUAGGGGGAAAGAUUUAUUGCCGAAGGAUUGGCCCGCGUCCGAUUAGCUAGUUGGUGAGGUAACGGCUCACCAAGGCGACGAUCGGUAGCUGGUCUGAGAGGAUGAUCAGCCACACUGGGACUGAGACACGGCCCAGACUCCUACGGGAUGAAGCAGGGGGGAAUAUUGGACAAUGGGCGCAAGCCUGAUCCAGCCAUGCCGCGUGAGUGAUGAAGGCCCCAGGGUUGUAAAGCUCUUUCGCCAGGGACGAUAAUGACGGUACCUGGAUAAGAAGCCCCGGCUAACUUCGUGCCAGCAGCCGCAGUAACAC
rnacentral:rRNA from 1 species